rnacentral:rRNA from 1 species
GACGAACGCUGGCGGCGUGCUUAACACAUGCAAGUCGAACGGAAAGGCCCUGCUUUCAGGGUACUCGAGUGGCGAACGGGUGAGUAACACGUGUGUGUUCUGCCCUGCACUUCUGGAUAAGCCUGGGAAACUGUGUCUAAUACCGGAGAGGAGCCAUCUUGAGGGUGAUGGUUGGAAAGUUUUUUCGGUGUAGGAUGAGCUCGCUGCCUAUCAGCUUGUUGGUGGGGUAGUGGCCUACCAAGGCGGCGACGGGUAGCCGGCCUGAGAGGGUGGCCGGCCACAUUGGGACUGAGAUACGGCCCAGACUCCUACGGGAGGCAGCAGUGGGGAAUAUUGCACAAUGGGCGCAAGCCUGAUGCAGCGACGCCGCGUGGGGGAUGACGGCCUUCGGGUUGUAAACUCCUUUCGCUAGGGACGAAGCUUUUGUGACGGUACCUAGAUAAGAAGCACCGGCUAACUACGUG